GAUGAACGCUAGCGGCAGGCUUAACACAUGCAAGUCGCGGGGCAGCGAGGGGAUUGGCAACAAUCCCUGUCGGCGACCGGCGCAAGGGUGCGUAACGCGUGAGCAACAUGCCCGUCUCAGGGGGAUAACCGGUGGAAACGCCGCCUAAUACCCCAUGGCGAUAUAUUGAGGCAUCUUGAUAUAUCUAAAGCUCCGGCGGAGACGGAUUGGCUCGCGUGACAUUAGCUGGACGGCGGGGUAACGGCCCACCGUGGCAACGAUGUCUAGGGGUUCUGAGAGGAAGGCCCCCCACACUGGUACUGAGACACGGACCAG
rnacentral:rRNA from 1 species